UAAUAAUGGAAGCCCUGCAUAGGACAAGAAGACCUGGAAUCUGCCUGCAAGAGUCAUCCCCCAUUCCUCUUGGGAACCACCAGGUUAUGAACUGAGUGCCUGCCAGGUGAGGAAGACAUCGACCAAAGCAUCCUCAUGUCCUGUCCUCAGGAAGCAUACUGUCCAGUGCUCUGCCACACUGACUCUUUGCUGCAAGGACCACAUGAAGAAAUAAAGAAACUAAGGCCCAGGGAAGUUAAGUGACUUGCCCAGGGUCGCACAGCUAGCAAGUGAAAGAACCUGGAUUCCAUGGUGGGUGAUCAAGAACCAGACUGACCUCUUAACCAUACAAGAACAACCCUGGAAAUCCACCCAGGUGUUUCCAAGAAUAAUCUUCAGCUUCAACACCAACCAAAAGAUUUCCCGACAAAGGGAGCUUUCUCUUUGGAAGAGCAAUUCUGAUUGAACUGAAUGUCCUCUGUAUAAGGGCAUAAGUCAAGUGCAAGGUAAGCCCUGCAUCAGCAAAGAUCAUUAUCAUUACAGGUGUUCCUGAGCAAGAGGGCGGUAAGAUCAAUAUGCACAUUGCCCGUCCCCCUCAUUUUCCUGAGACUUUGUUUCCACCCUGGGGUCAACAUCCCAAGCAGAGGAAGCAAAAGACUUUCCAUCCUUGUUCCUGGAAUUGAAGAGAUUGCGAUGCCCAGCUGCCUUAUUAAACUUAGGGUUUUACAUCUCACUGCCACUAGAAUCACCAAGGUUAAACAUUCUGGGUAAGAACUGGGAUUAAUAACAUAGCAAUGGCCUCACACUGGCCGUGGAUUCCCCCUGCUAGUUAAUAGAAUGAUUCAUUUGAAUUGCUUCCCCCUUCAUUGUGGCAUGGGGCCUGGCUCUCCCCCUGCCAGCCUUUCCCUUUCUAGGAAAAGACAAGCAAAGCUUAUUGAAUUCUAAUACAUCAUCAUGGCAGCAGGCAUCAAUAGAGGGAGACAGAUGUGAGAACAGAACACCAAGCCCCAUAUCCAUCCCCUUGCAGUUUCCCCACCCCUUCCUCUUCUUCUCGGCAAGUCUACUCAGCACCCCUAGGGAAGCUGAGAGUUCAUUAUGAACAGCUGCCAAGAGUCAAUAAAUACAUGGCUGAGAUUUCAGUCACCUACUGUGGCUGUCCUCACCACCGACUAAGUAAUUGCAUGGCCCCAGAAUGGGUAGGGGAGGCUUGUGGGGUAGGAACGAGUGGCAAGGAGUUCAAAAGAGCUCUGCAGCCAGAAUGAUCUUUUUAUAAAGCAAAUUUGAUCAUAUCAAACACCUUCACCUCACUUAAAACUCUUCAAUGGCUCCCCAUUGCUUCUAGGAUAAAGACCAAAACAUUUAAUAUGGCUUGCAAGAUUCUGCAGGGCCUGGCCCCAGCCCACUCAUCUGAUCUCAUAUCCGAACAUGACCCUCACACACACAAACAUGUUUUCAACUACUCUAGCCACACUGAUAAUCUUCUAGUUGCUAGUGGACCUCCAGAACUCAGAUCAAAUAUCACCUUCUCAAUCCAGAACAAAUCCUACUAUAAUCUAAUCUUGUAGCACAAUUGUUCUUCUUGGCAUUUGUCCUAGCCUGCAGGUUUAUAUUUGUAUAAAUUUUGUGUGUGUGUGUGUGUGUAAUUAUUGGAAUGAUGCUCUCUCCACUGACUGUCAGAUAACUCUACAUUUUGCUUUCCAAGUAUCUCCAGUUUCUAGCACAAUGCCUGGCACAGAACAGGAAAUCAGUGUAUUUUUGCCAAAUGAAUGUAUGAAUCAAUGAGUUAUAAAGUGGGGCAUAUCCCAGAGCUGGAAGCACUUUAGUGAUAUUAAACCAUAGAAGAUGUGCAGUAGGAUGGGAAAAGAGGCAAGAGAGGUAGACAGAACAGACCACAGAACAAUCAUUAUUCAUUCAGCACCUGCUGUAUGCCAGGCACUGUUCUAGGCAUUAGGAAUACAGCAGUGAAUAAAGCAGACAACAUGCUUUGCUUUUAUGGAGCUUACAUCUGAGGCUCUUCCCCUCUGAUGUUGCAGUAUGCCUACAGAGGAAUAUUCCCCUUGGAAUAUCUACAGUUGUCAUGUUAUUCUAAAUUGCAGCAAAAAUAAAUUGCAAACAUAACUAGGUGUAAGGGGUCUCUCAUGGGCAGCAUUCAAGCUGGGCCUUCACCCAUGGGAAGGCCAAAGUAAACACUUCAACAGACCCCCAAAAUAAAUUCACUCCACAUCCUAUUGAUAAAAAGUGGAUAGUUUCCACCAGAUUCAGUGACAGGAUAGAAAGAAGGAUUAAGUUGCAUACCAUACAAUGAAACGUCCUCGAUUUGCUCCAUUAAACACCUCUGCCCCUUUUCUCCAGUUCCUCAUUCCUACCAGCCCUUUUAUCUAUCUUCCAUCUCUCUUACACUGCCUCUGAAAAUUCUUUCUCUCCUAAACAAUUCAGUAUUCAUCUUUAGCUUGUAAAUUUGCCUAACAGUGACCAUCAAACAUUUCUCAAACAUGCCCCUUGAGGGCCUUAGCUUCUGCUGCCAUAUAAACAUGGAUCAAAUUUGGAGGACUUUUUAUGACGGGUUUGAAUUUACCAGUGUGCCAUGGCCCACUGUGUGGGAGUUUCUGUUACAUGGUGCCAUGUCUUUCACACUAAGGAUUUUGGCCUUUUCCCUAAAGGCCAUGUGAAACACAAGAGGUUUUCAGCACAGGAAUGACCCCUGGGCAGAUUCUCCCCCACUGCACCUGAGAUUUUGCCUCUGCUUCCAGGAAGAAUCUAAAUGAAGCUGUGGGUGUCCUUCUAGCAUUAAUUAAAGCUUUGCUCUGGGCCCAGCUGCAGAGAAGACCAUGGGGUGCAACACAGAGGGGGAGCAGCUAUAGCUUCAAGGAAUCUGCAGGCAGCUCUAAACAUGUGAGACCUCUCCCCAUCCCCUCUGCUCUAGAAGCAGAGCCAAGGUCCCCUUAGGGAGAAGGCAUCUCUAAAGCUAAAACUCAAAUAUCUGCUUCCCACAGGAAAGAGAAAUGGUUGUGUCCUGGGGGAAAGUCCAUAAAGUGCAAUUUCCCUUAAGAUUCCUUUUCUGUGAUCUCCUCUCAGUCCUGAUGAUGCCUAAAGUGAGCUCAGUGUGUAGAGGACUCUCUUCGCAUUAGAGGCAUGGACUUGUGGAGUAUGAAAACCCUGCCUCCCAUCUCUCUGAUCCAACUUCCCAAGGCCAGGACCAGAGCAUCCAUUGAGUUGUCUAGUAAUAAUCAUAAUUAUAAAAAUAAUUGCAGCUAUCAUUUACUGAGAACUUACCAAGGCAAUCACUUAAUGGACACUAUUUCAAUUAAGCCUCACAGUAAUCUGGUGAAAUGGAGAUUACUAUCACCAUUUGACAGAUGAGGAAGCCAAGGCUUAGAUCUGCUUUCAAGUCUGAGACUACUUACCAUUUAUAAGCCAUGGGAGGUUGAGUAAGUUACUUUACUUAACCAUCCUGCUUUAUUAGCUUUUAUUGAAUGAAAAUGUGUGCAAAGUCUUCCUCUGAGAUGCGUACCCAAUUUUUAUCCCCACAUCUCCUAAUCAACCUCAGAAGGACUCUUAGGUUACUCUUGGAAUGGGAAGCAGCUGUGGUCUGAGCCUUUAGGAAUCUUGGGAGUGCGAGAAGCAUUGUCCCGCUCUGGAAGUGAUGAAGGCUUGAAAUUUAGGCAACUACACUAGGUCCUGCAGAGACCUCUCUGUUCAUGCCUGGCUGCAGGGAAUUCAAAUCUUCAUCAGAUGAAAACUUUCAUGAAACCUCAAGUGAACAUCCUAAAAGGCAAACUGACCCCAUCUCUCAUCCUGUUAAAAGCCACCACUAACUUUCUUUAGACUCUAGAACUCAGUAGUAGCCAGAAAUAAAAAUGAAACACAGCAAACUUUAGCAGGAGGAAGAGAUAAGGGCAGAGAGAAUUUAUGAUAGCUUAUGGGAGUUAGUAAGGACUCCUGGUAGCAUGCAGAAAAAAAGAAAUAGAACUCCAUGAGCCUCAUCCCAAAAGGGCAGAAUUUAGUGAGCCACUUCGGGAACCUGCAGAGAGAGUGAGGUACAAUUUACUUCAGGAACCACUGGAACCAGGAGCUCAAAAGCUGUCGGGUGCCUCUAGCUCCCAUGUCUCUUCAUUUCUCCUUCCCACUGAGUGUUGCCCUCAUCUUCCCCAUUCCCAUUGGCCUUCACUCAGUGGGAGAAUGGCUGUAGUAGCUCCAGCUAUACCACUUUUAUGGAGUGAGUGACCAAGAGAGGAGCGGUGAGCUCUCUUACUUUAGAUUUUAGAUUAAGUUCAGGAAUUGUAGAAAGAGAUAAACAGAUGGUGUUU